AAUGGAGUUUCCUCAGGGACAAGCGUAGAGGCAGCAAACACAAGAUUCAUAUUUUAUUCAUUAUUCAUUUGCUCACACUCGCACUCUGGCACAAAGGCAGCUCUAACUAUCAAGGGAUUAAAAUCACAGCAUGAAGUGCAACAUGAUGUUUUUUCUUCUGAUGGUUUUUUUGUUCAUCAAUUUCCCUGUAGCUGAGUGUCAUCAUCAUAGCAGUGAUUCAGACGACAGAAGCUCAAAUUCUCAUCACUACAGCAGUGAUUCUGACAGUGAUGAGAAUUACAAUCGUCCCUGGCCUUCCUUUCCAUUCUGGCCAUUUCCUGGUCUGUGGCCGCUUCCACCAGCUCCUCCACCACCCCCACCCCCAACUCCAGCACCCAACCCAACCACAACCACAUCCCCCCAGACCCCCAGGACCACAGCUGUUGUUACCACCGAGACCCCGCGAGGAGACAGUUGAACGGUUGAACUUUACUGAUCUGAGCAGGAAUAACGGAUUGUGUUUAUGAACAUCUUUAUUUGUUGGGAAGUUUCAGUAUUGGUUCAGCAACCUGUUUAUGUGUAUUUUUCUUUUGACUCCUUUAUUCUUUGUCAAUGUUCAUAUCAUUUCAAUUAGCAUCUUUCUUAUUUCCCACUCCAUAGGAAAACUUUAUCGAUUUAUUGUGGUUUGAGACGUGUGACAAGAGAAACAGGCACUAUGUUGGUGUUUUAUUAUUUGUUUUGUUGGUUGUUGGUCCUCGAAAGGCCAUGGAGAUACGUUAGGGAGGAUGCUUAUGUCACAUUGGUGUGAAACAUUCUCACCAUCCCUGGAUCAGCACAGCUUAAGAAAGGGAUGAGUGUUGAGCCUUUAAUACCUGACUUCAUCAGGGAAGUCUGUCACAAUGUAACCUACUUUUAUCAUGACUCGACUCAUUCAUCGCACUAGACUGCAUUUAAUCACAGGGACUUUACUCUGCUACUGCGUUAUCAUUCUCACAAAUGUACAUCUGUUUCUUAUCGACAUAAAAUAACAUUCAUUUAUUUCUUUUCAUGGUUUGCGCAAAAAACGGUGGGUUUUGCAGAGCUACUCAUUAUGAAUGUUGCCGUGUUUUUACUAGUUUUUGUUGUUACUAGUCAAUUUAAUUUGCUUUAUCAAAUUAUAUAAACCAGCCAAACAACAAGGCUAGGUUGGUGUUUAUCAAUAUGAUACAAAAUAUGCACUGAAUAGUGUUUUUGCACACUUUAUUAUUUGUAUUUGGU